rnacentral:rRNA from 1 species
UACAGAGGGGGCAAGCGUUGUUCGGAAUUACUGGGCGUAAAGGGCGCGUAGGCGGCCUGCUAAGUCGAACGUGAAAUCCCUGGGCUCAACCCAGGAACUGCGUCCGAUACUGGUUGGCUUGAAUCCGGGAGAGGGAUGUGGAAUUCCAGGUGUAGCAGUGAAAUGCGUAGAUAUCGUGAGGAAGACCAGUUGCGAAGGCGGAUCUCUGGGCAGUUCCUGACACUGAGGCACGAAGGCCAGGGGAGCAAACGGG